rnacentral:rRNA from 1 species
ACGUGCCAGCAGCCGCGGUAAGACGUAGGACGCAAGCGUUAUCCGGAUUUACUGGGCGUAAAGCGCCUGUAGGCGGCGGGAUAAGUCGGAUGUGAAAGCCCCGUGCUCAACGCGGGGAAGCCAUUCGAUACUGUCUGGCUAGAGAGCGGGAGAGGGAAACGGAAUUUCUGGUGUAGCGGUAAAAUGCGCAGAGAUCAGAAGGAACACCGAUGGCGAAGGCAGUUUCCUAGGCCGUAUCUGACGCUGAGAGGCGAAAGCUAGGGGAGCGAACAGGAUUAGAGACCCUGGUAGUCCUAGCUGUAAACGCUGGAUGCUAGGUGUGGGCCAGAGCGGUCCGUGCCGGAGUUAACGCGAUAAGCAUCCCGCCUGGGGAGUAGGGCCGCAAGGCUAAAACUCAAACGAAUUGACGGGGACCCGCACAAGCAGCGGAGCGUGUGGUUUAAUUCGAUGCUACACGCAGAACCUUACCUGGGCUUGACAUGUAGGUGGUAGUGAAGUGAAAGCGGAGCGACCCUUCGGGGAGCCUACACAGGUGCUGCAUGGCUGUCGUCAGCUCGUGCCGUGAGGUGUCGGGUUAAGUCCCGUAACGAGCGCAACCCUUGUCCUUAGUUACAAGUGUCUAAGGAGACUGCCGGUGACAAACCGGAGGAAGGUGGGGAUGACGUCAAGUCAGCAUGGCCCUUAUGUCCAGGGCGACACACACGCUACAAUGGUCGGUACAAAGGGCAGCGCAGCCGCGAGGUGAAGCGAAUCCCAACAAAGCCGAUCCCAGUUCGGAUUGCAGGCUGCAACCCGCCUGCAGAAGCCGGAGUU